rnacentral:lncRNA from 1 species
UUGUGAUAUGCAACAACAUUACUUAUUUCUGGAGCAGUCUGCCAUGUGACAAAGAAGAGAAAAAGUUCAAAUAAGAGUAGCCAACGUAAGGAUAUCAAAUGAAGGAAGGAAUAAAGCAGCCAAAAUUGAAAAUACAAAUGUAUCAGAUAAUACACAAAUUUCCUUUUUAGGGAUUACAAAAUAAAUGAGGCAGUUAAAGAUCGUAAGGAAAUGACACCAAAAAUGUGAACAAACACAUUAGCUACUAGGUGGCAUAUACAAAGAGAACUGCCACAACAUACAAAAGCUAAUAAUAUUUAUAAUAAGUAAUAUAUCUAGAAACUCGUGCCAUGAAAAGAAAAUUUACUAAGAAUGGAGAUUACUAGAAAAUUUACUAAAA